GAUGAACGCUGGCGGCGUGCCUAAUACAUGCAAGUCGAGCGAACAGACGAGGAGCUUGCUCCUCUGACGUUAGCGGCGGACGGGUGAGUAACACGUGGAUAACCUACCUAUAAGACUGGGAUAACUUCGGGAAACCGGAGCUAAUACCGGAUAAUAUAUUGAACCGCAUGGUUCAAUAGUGAAAGACGGUUUUGCUGUCACUUAUAGAUGGAUCCGCGCCGCAUUAGCUAGUUGGUAAGGUAACGGCUUACCAAGGCAACGAUGCGUAGCCGACCUGAGAGGGGGAUCGGCCACACUGGAACUUAGCCACGGUCCAGACUCCUACGGGAGGCAGCAGUAGGGAAUCUUCCGCAAUGGGCGAAAGCCUGACGGAGCAACGCCGCGUGAGUGAUGAAGGUCUUCGGAUCGUAAAACUCUGUUAUUAGGGAAGAACAAAUGUGUAAGUAACUAUGCACGUCUUGACGGUACCUAAUCAGAAAGCCACGGCUAACUACGUG
rnacentral:rRNA from 1 species